CGGGUGUUAUGCAGCUGCAGUCCUUGGCCAUGACAUUAUGGUGUUCCGCAGUGGAGCCUUGUCUCCGACGAGCAAUUGGGCCGAAGAUGGUGGCCUUCUCUGCCCGACGAUCUCACGAAAAGCUUGCACACCAUCCGACGAUCACUCACGACCACAUCUCAUGCACUGGAUGACAACGGAGAUGCGGGACCACGACGUAUGGCGUCUCUGCGACGGAGAACCCGCAUUGGUGAGAAAUCACCGCGCCUUCGUGGCCACCCGCGCUUGCACUCG
rnacentral:lncRNA from 7 species